CUUUAUAGCUCAGUUGUUAGAGCAUAAGACUCUUAAUCUCUGGGACAUGGGUUUGAGCCCCAUGCUGGUUGAAAGA